rnacentral:rRNA from 1 species
GACGGAGGAUGCAAGCGUUAUCCGGAAUGAUUGGGCGUAAAGCGUCCGCAGGUGGCAGUUCAAGUCUGCUGUCAAAGACCGGGGCUUAACUUCGGAAAGGCAGUGGAAACUGAACAGCUAGAGUAUGGUAGGGGCAGAGGGAAUUCCUGGUGUAGCGGUGAAAUGCGUAGAGAUCCGGAAGAACACCGGAGGCGAAGGCGGCUUGCUGGACCUGGUCUGACGCUGAGGCGCGAAAGCGUGGGGAGCGAACAGG